rnacentral:rRNA from 1 species
UACGUAGGGGGGCAAGCGUUGUCCGGAAUCAUUGGGCGUAAAGAGCGUGUAGGCGGCCCGAUAAGUCCGCUGUGAAAGUCCAGGGCUCAACCCUGGAAAGCCGGUGGAUACUGUCGGGCUAGAGUCCGGAAGAGGCGAGUGGAAUUCCUGGUGUAGCGGUGGAAUGCGCAGAUAUCAGGAGGAACACCGAUGGCGAAGGCAGCUCGCUGGGACGGUACUGACGCUGAGGCGCGAAAGCGUGGGGAGCGAACAGG